AUCCCUAACCUCCCUCUCCCUUUCUUCUUCACUCAAUACCCACGGUGGCCACCUCAUCAAUGAAUCGAAGCCCUACGACAUCCUGGCCACUGCAUAUUGGUAGAUAUUCGCUCCAACUGGCCACCCCGAACCGACAUAGGAAUUAAGUCCUCCUAAACACGGCCGAAAUCGAACCCCAACUAGCCUCUCUUCCUCCUAUCACCGAGAACCAAACCGCUCCAAGAUCGGCCACUAACACCACUCAACAACGAUCUAAGACUCAAGUAAACGACUCUUAAAACUUCUCACCGACGACAACAACCCCAACGAACCCUCCCCGGCAGCAAGCAAUUCGGCGGUGCCAGAGUAUGGUUAUUGACAUGGUGGCUGUCAGGUCAAUGGCACAUCCUUGACUGGAGCAGGGCAGGCAUAGGGGCAUGGUGUUGCUGGGAGGUAAGGCAUAGGGAUAGCUGUUGCAGGAACCGGGUCUGGACCGGGUCGGAUCUUGGGUCGGGUCAAACACUUGGCCUGGAAUCGGGUCACCCCAGUGGGUUAAAAAAAUGGUGCUUACAAUAGAAUCGAAUGGAAUUUCAUGGAUGAUACACUAAGGCCAUCUCCAACCCUCAUCUCUAUUGUACAUCAUCUCUAUCUCUACUCUAAAGAUGAAACAGUAAUUCAUAUUUAGUACUAUCUCUACAUUACCACCAA